AGAUCGGAUUUUUACGUAUUGGU
rnacentral:snRNA from 1 species